UUGAUUAUUUUGAUUCAUUUAUCCUAAAAUGAUUGCGAAUAAACAAGAGCGAUCGUUUGAUUUAUAUGCGCAUGCUAAUUUAUUUACUAUUUGUAACUGAUUUCUUAGUUUUUAAUAUAUAAUUAUUAUUUUAUUAUUUCAUAAUAUGCAUAAAAACAUAAAAGAAGUAAUAAAUAUAAAAUAUUUAUUAUGUUCAAGGUGCAAAUCUUAACCUUAGUAUAUAUCUCUUUAAUAGUUUCAAAUCUUAAAUAUUUUCUAAAUCUGAGGACAAAAAAAAUAACGAAAUGAGAAUAAAUUCAAAAAUCAAUAUUUAUAUCGAGCAAUAACCAAAAUGAAAAAAAAACACAAAAAUAAAAAAAAUAUUGAAGAUAUUUAGGAUUGACACGUGAAUGCAAACUUUUCAUAGGCAUAAUUAACUUUUAAAUUACUAAGUCAUGAUAUAAAAUCGAGCUUUCAUAUUUUCAUUGUAACCAAAU
rnacentral:lncRNA from 1 species